GACGAACGCUGGCGGCGUGCUUAACACAUGCAAGUCGAACGGAGCGAAUGAAAGCUUGCUUUUAUGAGCUUAGUGGCAAACGGGUGAGUAACACGUAGACAACCUGCCGAUCAGAUGGGGACAACAUUCCGAAAGGAAUGCUAAUACCGAAUGGCGUGUAGGGGAGGCAUCUUCCCUACAUGAAAGAUGGCCUCUAUAUAUAAGCUAUCACUGAUCGAUGGGUCUGCGUCUGAUUAGCUGGUAGGUAAGGUAACGGCUUACCUAGGCGACGAUCAGUAGCCGGUCUGAGAGGAUGAACGGCCACAUUGGGACUGAGACACGGCCCAGACUCCUACGGGAGGCAGCAGUGGGGAAUCUUCCGCAAUGGGCGCAAGCCUGACGGAGCAACGCCGCGUGAGUGAAGAAGGUCUUCGGAUCGUAAAGCUCUGUUGAAGGGGACGAACGUACGCAGUGCGAAUAGUGCUGUGUAAUGACGGACCUUUGAGAAGCCACG
rnacentral:rRNA from 1 species